rnacentral:rRNA from 1 species
GAUGAACGCUGGCGGCGUGCCUAAUACAUGCAAGUCGAGCGAACAGACGAGGAGCUUGCUCCUCUGACGUUAGCGGCGGACGGGUGAGUAACACGUGGAUAACCUGCCUAUAAGACUGGGAUAACUUCGGGAAACCGGAGCUAAUACCGGAUAAUAUAUUGAACCGCAUGGUUCAAUAGUGAAAGACGGUUUUGCUGUCACUUAUAGAUGGAUCCGCGCCGCAUUAGCUAGUUGGUAAGGUAACGGCUUACCAAGGCAACGAUGCGUAGCCGACCUGAGAGGGUGAUCGGCCACACUGGAACUGAGACACGGUCCAGACUCCUACGGGAGGCAGCAGUAGGGAAUCUUCCGCAGUGGGCGAAAGCUUGACGGAGCAGCGCCGCGUGAGUGAUGAAGGUCUUCGGAUCGUAAAACUCUGUUAUUAGGGAAGAACAAAUGUGUAAGUAACUAUGCACGUCUUGACGGUACCUAAUCAGAAAGCCACGGCUAACUACGUG